CCGAGCUUGGUUUUCCGCUACGCAGCGUGGCCGAGCGUGGAUUCGCUUCCUUUGGUUUCCGGUUUCAGCCGAGCAGUGGUACAAUCGCACGGCUCGGACAUUGGGAUGGGAUGGAAAAUUAAGAACGAUCGAAGAGAGAUCGUGUCAAAAUGUAGAUUCGGAUGUAAGAUUUAAGAAGAGCGAAACGAGGAAAGAAAAGAAUUAUUGAUGAAAAUGAUACGUAAUAGAUUCGAGCUUGAGGUGACUGGAAAGAAGAAUAGAAUGAAAAAAAAGAA